rnacentral:rRNA from 1 species
GACGAACGCUGGCGGCGUGCCUAAUACAUGCAAGUCGAACGAGUUGCGAACGGGUGAGUAACACGUGGUAACCUGCCCCAUUGCGGGGGAUAACUAUUGGAAACGAUAGCUAAUACCGCAUACUUUUGGAUGGACCUGCGUUGGAUUAGCUAGUGGGUGGGGUAAAGGCUCACCAAGGCAACGAUACAUAGCCGACCUGAGAGGGGGAUCGGCCACACUGGGACUGAGACACGGCCCAGACUCCUACGGGAGGCAGCAGUGGGGAAUAUUGCACAAUGGGCGCAAGCCUGAUGCAGCCAUGCCGCGUGUAUGAAGAAGGCCUUCGGGUUGUAAAGUACUUUCAGCGAGGAGGCGGUACUCGCAGAAGAAGCACCGGCUAACUCCGUGCCAGCAGCCGCGGUAAUUC